AUCCAUGUGCCUUCUGUGGUGCUGAUGACCUCACAUGCUGGUGUGAACAGAAGUCCCUGUGAAGGUGUCAUCUCCAGGGGCAGCAUGACUGAUGCCCCCUGUCUCUCUUUCUCUAUUUCAGGCAGAGGUAGCAUCCAAAUGCAAAACUAGACCUUAAAAAUCUCACAAGCAAGUUCCUCAUUAUUCAAGGAUGGCCUGAUAACUCCCAGAAUAUGUGAAGGUUUCAAUGUGUUGCUUCAAUAAAGUACUUGCCCUGCA